CUUCUUCCCCACUUCCUCCGUUUGAGGUUCUAAUAUUAAGAUGUGGAACUAAAUUCAUUCCCAGCACCCAUUAAGGAGAAAAUAAGCUGCUAGCAUCCUAAAAAGCUGUUGACCCUCGCGGGACACUCAAUAUCUGACUGUGACAACAAGGAUGUCAUCAGCACACAUAGUGUCCCAAAACUGGUUUGACCUGCUGCAUUCCAUCAUAAGGAUCACGUAAUGAAUGUGACAAUGCAAUAGCUGAAAUAAAGACUACAUCUGUAGUGGUGCAGAUAAGUGGCGAAGUCUUUCAUUUAAUGAUAAGACACGUGUUUGUUUGUGGGUUUUGUUUUUGUUUUUUUUAAAUUCCAUGUUAGAGUGCCAGAUCAGAUACUUACAUUUUUCAUGAUUUUUUUUUUUCAUAAUGUGAAUCACUGAUGCUAUCUUACUGUACCAGCAAGAUAUGAUGUGACUUUACAUACAUAUUGUAUUCAGUACAAACAAAUCAGAAUUUCAGCCAACAAAUUGCAAGUCAAGAGCAGCUGGAUCCCCACUGCCAUUUUCAAACAAGCAAGUAGCUCAGUUAGAAUUAGGUAGGCUUUUCAUAUUCUGUAACACUGUAUGAAGGAAAAGUCAAAUUACAUAUUAUGUUUUAUGACAUUUCAUUUCUUGUUUGUGCAGCUUUUUACUAUUGUCACUAAAAUUGAGAUCUGUUACUAAGCGUGAGCUUUCUAUCCUAGAGAAAGUCUUUUCUCCUCUUUGUGUGGGAAUAUUCUUUUAUGUCUUCAUAGACAGCCUGUGUGUUGGGGAACUUACUCUCUAAAGUUAUUCCUCCCACCCACCGCAAAGAGUCACUUCUUUGCAGAAGAACAGUGUCUUCAGAAAAGUUACAGUAUAAUUCAUCAAACACAUAAUGGCUUCAAAAAUCUUCUACUCCCCAGUUUCAUCGCCUAAUCCUGAAAGAGAGACUGAAAUACGAAUCUCCCCUGCUGUAUAGACAAAGUCACGAUUGCUUUUCCAUUGAGUUUCCACAGUCCUCUGUAUGAACAGAGAAAGAGCAAGGAAGAAAUAAGUGAAGCUGCAAAAUAGACAUCCAGAUAACACAGACAAAAGCAAGAGCUUCAAGGUAACCUCUCUACAAAGGAGCUUCUGACUCUUCCAGCGGCUUCUGCUAGUGCAUCUGGGACCUUGACUUGGGUAUUCCAGGAGUGGACUUUCAGAUUGCACACACUAUUAAUAUUCACUGCUCCAGAGUGUUUUCCUGUCUCCCACUAAGCAUUUUACAUAACAUUCAGCCACACAAUCUACCCAAGACCAGAUUUUUUCCAGGUAGUAUCAGAAGUAACAACAAUAAUAAUGAGUGUGGGUGAACAAAUAGUGUGCAACGGCAUCCAACAACCCAACCCAAAUGUACAGCCUUCCUUCUAAUAGAAUUUACAGUACGUUUCACCUCUCUAUUAGAGGUUUCUAUCGUUAGACAUUCUAUCGUCUCUCUACCGUUUUCUAUCACCUGUUUAUCUA
ensembl:lncRNA